rnacentral:tRNA from 1 species
GGGGGCGUGGUGUAACUGGCUAGCAUGACGGACUCCAGCGGAAUUAUACGGGUUUACUGAUCGGUCGAGAUGAUGAUCUGCUGGAGCACAUCGGAGAAACCCGUAGAUGCCGGUUCAAAUCUGGUCGUCCCUA